rnacentral:rRNA from 1 species
CCUACGGGAGGCAGCAGUAGGGAAUCUUCCACAAUGGGCGAAAGCCUGAUGGAGCAACGCCGCGUGGGUGAAGAAGGUCUUCGGAUCGUAAAACCCUGUUGUUAGAGAAGAAAGUGCGUGAGAGUAACUGUUCACGUUUCGACGGUAUCUAACCAGAAAGCCACGGCUAACUACGUGCCAGCAGCCGCGGUAAUCCGUAGGUGGAAAGGGUUAUCCGGAUUUUUUGGGCGUAAAGGGAACGCAGGCGGUCUUUUAAGUCUGAUGUGAAAGCCUUCGGCUUAACCGGAGUAGUGCAUUGGAAACUGGGAGACUUGAGUGCAGAAGAGGAGAGUGGAACUCCAUGUGUAGCGGUGAAAUGCGUAGAUAUAUGGAAGAACACCAGUGGCGAAAGCGGCUCUCUGGUCUGUAACUGACGCUGAGGUUCGAAAGCGUGGGUAGCAAACAGGAUUAGAUACCCGGGUAGUC